GUAUUGUAUUGCGUUAAACGCGGUGCGCAUUCCAUAAGACUUUGUUACAGUGUGUGUGUAAAGAUGCAGAACCACAGAAGGGAGGCAGAGCCCCCCAGACCGUAGAACUACAGAGGGUGCACAGGUGUGAGUGGAUGUGUAAACAGAGCGUGCACGUGCCCCCCUUCGAGGGCCAGCAACAACUCGUGUCGACAAUUCGGUAAUGAUCCUUCCGCAGGUUCACCUACGGAAA
rnacentral:misc_RNA from 1 species